GUGCUCGCUUCGGCAGCACAUAUACUAAAAUUGGAACGAUACAGAGAAGAUUAGCAUGGCCCCUAAAAAAAAAAAAAAAGGGGGAGAGAAAAAUGUC
rnacentral:snRNA from 1 species